AUGGCUUCAGGAAAAGACACUUGUCCUACCUUACCGAAACUCAACAACAGCGGCUUUAGGUGUGAAGAGAUUCAUUUGCCACGGUUUUCAUUAAAGCAAGGGAUGAUCCCAAGACGUUAUGUUAUGCCUUGGAAGGAAAACAUGGAAUUCAGAAAUGUGAAUCUGAAGCUGGCAGAAGUGUGUGGAAUCUACGCCGGCCCUUUAGAAGACUCUCUGUUUUGGUAUCACAGAGAAAGGCUUUGCCAUGGGGAAGACCGGAAAGUCGUCCUGCAGAAAGGACCACCGGAAAUAAAGAUUGCGGACAUGCCUUUGCACUCCCCUCUCUCCAAAUACCAGAGCACUGUGAUUUCCCAUGGCUUCCGGAGGAGACUGAUCUGA